AGAUACCUGAUAGAACGAGAGGGGAGAAGAGAAGAGGGUGAAAUGGCAUAGGUUUUCAAAUCUUACACAAAAAUACCCCAUCGCUGCAGAGUAGUACAUUCAGACCUAAAUUCUUGAAGACAGCUACUUAUAUUAUGGCCAAUUAAAACCCGCUGACUCUAAAACCUUACUCACAAACAUAUGGCAAGCCGGCACUCUUGCCAGACUACCUUUUGACAACAAAAACAGAGCUUCCACCCAACAGAGCAAGUCUCUAGUUAUGAGUCUCUAUCUCUCUGUCAAAGAGCCAGGUUUCUGGCAGCAUUUAAGCUAGGCUCUGAACCAGAAAGGGGUUCUUCACAUUUUGGGCAUUACUUUUCUUUCUUGAGAACCAGCUCAGAAAGGACAACGGAGGGUUUCUAGUAGCAUCUAACAUUUGAUAAACCCUGUUCCAUCUUUGCUAGAAACAGUUGUCCACGAUACAUCCUUUUUUGCUUAGGUAUUUAAGUUUUAACAAUGACGACUUCCUUCCUCUGAGACUAAAUGACACAUCUGCCCAUCUCAGAGCUCUUCAGCUGCAAUUCUGAAGGACCAUGAUAAGGUCUCUCAAAGUUCUGGAAAGCUCCUCAACGUCAAACAACCUCGGAACUUAAGAAAAAAAAGAAACUCUAACAUACAUUUACAUAGUACCAACUUCUCCUAUUAGACAAAGCUGAAAAAUCUUUGGAGGAAAUUCAUCAGCACAGUCAAGUAAACACUACUUCCAGUGGAGACAGAGUGAUUUUACAGAUUCUGCAAGACCUGAGUCAGCAUGUUUCUUUUUGGCCUUGAACCCUAUGAGCCAUUUGUUUCUGUAAAAAUUUUCCAUUCAAACAUGUCUGUUAUUAUAAGCAUGCAAGUACGGUUACUCUUUCUGCAACACAACCCCAUGAAAACGGCUAAGCCAAGAAGUUAGUAAUAAAUGGAUGGUUUAAUUUAAUCAGCUGCAUCAGACAUUUCUGUAAGCAGUGGUGCCCUGUCGCUUGAACAAGAGAAUUUUGAAGGCAGCAAGAUGACUGACAGAAGAGCCUUAAGAAAUAUCUGACCAAGCAUCAAGUGGACUAUUAAAAAAAGCAAACAAACAAACAACAAAUUUCUGCACACAUUAUUCCAGCUCAGAAGAAUGGCAAAUACCUUUGGCCCUCAGAUGCACUGUCUCCUCCUCCACUCUUUGCCCACAAAAUGGGCAGGCAAGCAAUGCAGUAGGAAAGGUUACUGCUAAGCAGUUGGCAAGCCCAGCCACUAGCUGUCAGGCAGCUGGACGAGAACCGGGCUGCUGUAUUUCAUUUCCUCAUCCAGGCUGAACCAACAACACUCACAGGGUGACCUUGAAGUUUAUCUAACCCCUUCCACCCUGUCAAUCUUAGCUACAAAAUGAAACAAGGUCUACGUUUAAAGCUGGAAUAUCUCUGUCUUGAUAUACUAACAUGUAAAAUGCUACAUUUAUACUCCAAUAUGCCUGCUAUAGGGGAAUCAAGAUAGAAAUCAGUCCGUUAGGCCUGUGGAAACCAACCUUGAACAAAAAUGAAGAAAAACUAUGCCAUGGACUAUAGGGGUGGGAAAGAGCACAAACUCCUCUGCCAACGACUUG